GGUUCCUCUGAGCAUGGAACACAUCCAUGAAUCUGGCCCUGCCUUCAAACUUGCAUAAGAGACUACUCCGUGCCUGGAUGAGUUUUGUGGACUGUGGAACACAAUAGUAACUGGCCCUAGGGGCAUGCAGAGGAACACUGGAUUACCAGAAGAGAAGGUAAAGAUGAUUAAAUUUGCAAAGGAAGCGUGAAGGAGACAUUGACCAGUACAACAGGAUUUGAGCUUCUUUCAGCAAACAUUCCGAG
rnacentral:lncRNA from 1 species